rnacentral:misc_RNA from 1 species
AUCUCUUUCUUUUUAUUUUCCUGCAAAAUCUCUACUUUUCUUUCCCUCUUUCAAAUCUAUUUUCUCUUUCAUUUCCCCCUCUUUUCUCUCUCCCUCUCUACCUCACAAAAAUUAGUAUCCAAGGACCCUUUUCUCUUAUUCCCUCUAGUCUUGCUUGUUUGCUUCAUUUUCACUAGAAAAAACUUUUUCUUGUUUGCUGAUUUCAAUUAAAUGAUGGGGUUUUCAAAGAAGGCUCAAGUGGAUUCUGGUUUAGAUUCAAAAGGGAAAAAAUGGGUAAUUGCUGGAAUUGCUAUCAGGACUUCACUGAAACCGCUAAGCACGAAACCAAGAGGAAAAGGCAGUGAUGAUGGUGAUGAUGAAGAGGAGUGUUCUACAACCCCAACUGCCAAAGAAGCAAGAAUACCGGAGAGGUUGCCUUGUCCGCCGGCUCCAAGGAAGCGGCGGCCUUCUUCGAGGUGUAACUACAAUGAUGCUAGGGAGUUCUUUACUCCUCCUGAUUUGGAAUCGGUAUUUAAAUGCUAUGUUGAGAAGGCAAAUUGAGAGAGGCUUACAAUGAUUAGGCCUAAAUGAAGGGUUGAAUUAGAGCUUAGAGAUUUUGUAGCGUUUUCUCUAUUUAUCUUCCUUUCUUUUCCCCCUUUUACUAUUAAUAUUAAUUUUUAUCUCUAUUUUUAUUUUUUGGUAGUGAUUAGUGAUUAGGAGCUGAAGUUGUACAAAGAUAUGAUAUUUUAUGAAAUGACUAGUGUAGUUUGGUUUAGCUUUUUUUUGGUUAAUGAGGAGUUUCUG